AUGCAUCUGGCUCAGCUGCCCAGGACCCUCAAACCCUCCCGGGCUCCCCAGGUUCCACUCGUCCGUGCUCAGCAUGCUGAGAGCAUCGUGCACGAGGCUGAAAUAGGGGCGAGGUGGCGCUGCCAUCAUGCAGGUCACUGGUGGUGGCUCCUGGGCUGGCACCGAGGGACAAAAGGCCCCGUGCUGUGCCGCCCGCAUUGCCCCACGUCCCACCCUGGUGGUUUAUGCACCGAGGGGGUGCUGCUGGUGCAGGAGCAGCCACCAAACCCGGUGCCCUCCCCAUCUCCACCGGCCGCCGAGCAGCCGCCGGGCGCAGGGCACCAUCGAUGCCACCGAGGUGCUUUGCUGGAACCCAGUCAAGUGUGGAAAGCGCCGUCAGAUUUUCCACUGCCGGGCUCUGGAGAGCGUCUCCGGCGCGUCCCCGCUGAGGGGCUGUGCUAUUUACAGCUCCUUGCUGCGAGGCGAGGCCACACGGCAAACGGCGAGGCCGCGGCCGGGCAGCUCGGGGCCGUCUCUGUAGCUGCUCCGCUAACCCCGGAGUCACCCCAAAUGUGUACGGAGAGCUGUGCGUGCACAAACGGUGUGCGCGCCAUCGGGUCUCCGUGGCAAAAUGUCCUUCUUGGGGUGGGGAGGAGGGUGUGGGGAUGCGGAGCGCUGCGUGCGGGACUCUGCGGUCACCGUCCCACCACAGGGCCCCCUCCCCAAGGGGCAAGGGGUCCCCAGGGUGAACUGCGUCAGCCCAGGCUCUGCUGCUCUCUCUGGAAGGGGAAACUGAGGCACGGGCAAAGGAUGUGGCUGUCCCUUGGGCACGGCGGUGACUGGCCCAGCCGCUGCACCCUGGCCUGGGUGGGGAGGAGAUGCCAGCACCGGGGAGUGAGGGGCACUUUUUUUUGGGGGGGGGGGCUCAUUGCAGCAAAUCAGCACCUUGGCGUUUGGGGUGCCCAAAGCACAGGGGAUUUUCUGCCUGGGGGAAGCCGCUGCCCCCCGCACCGUGCUGCACCCCAGGCAGCCGCCGUCCACCCUUUGUCCUUGGGGGCCCCCCCCCCCCAGCCAGCAGAACCGAGCCUUUCCCUCCCCUCCGGGCGCCCCUGCGGCCGCUCUGUCCCUUUAAAAGGACUCCAGGCGUGGCUGCGGGGCUGUCAUCCUGUCCCCGCUGGACCAGGGACUGGACAGCCCCGGACAGCCCUGGGCAAGUGGGGACCGCAGCCACCACGGGGACCGCAGCCUCCGCAGGUACCAGGGCUGACCCUGUUGGGUUGGGGGGGCUCACAAAAAGAGAGGGAGAACAAGUGA
rnacentral:lncRNA from 1 species